GCAAGACAAAUUUUAUUUUGUCUCAAAGUUGAGUUUUCUUAAAUAAAUAAGACGUACAGAUGUUGGUCCUGGGAGUCAUAGAAAAUUUGUUCUUUUUCCCGUCUUAAAAAUACGAUAAAAAUCUUGCUGAUAAAAUUGAAGAAACUUCCCUCAAUGUUUCUAAUGAGAAAACGAAAAAAUUUAAACCAACUACUGAUGUAGAUCCAAGGUUUCAACAAACAAACCAAUCUCUCAGGUGUUAUGUACACGGAGAAAAAUGGACUUGAGAAAUGUACGAAUUUUUAUUAUGCUGUCGACCCAACUUGAAACAGGCAGUUGAGUCGCCAGAAAAUUACUAUGCGGCAUUACAAAAAAUAUCAUACUCUCAAAACUUGUUGAUUAAUUGUAAUAAAAAUUAUUUGUCUAAAUUAGGAAUUAUUGUCAAGAAUAAAACAUUUUUAUCGGCUCACAAUAAUAAUUAUAGUACAGCGUGAUAGUUUUUUGGCGACUCAACUUCCUGUUUAAAGUUUGGUCGACAGCAUAAUAAAAAUUCGUACAUAUUUCAUCUCCAUUUUUCUCGGUGUAAUGUACACAGACUAUUACCGACGUGAGAAAGAUCUCAGAAAAAAAUGAAAAAGCUUGUGAAUGGUUUAAAGAUACUUUUUAAGCAUUGUCCAAAGGAAUCGAUAGAAUGCUGGGACGAUCUUCGUCGUCGAGACCCUCCUGAAUUUAGUUCGGAUGAAGAAAAAUCUCAAGGAAAAUUUCUAGGACAUUCUUAUGGAGACUUAAAUUUAUUUUUAAAAAUAUUCAAUUCUACUUAAAGAUUACAAUUAAUGUAAUAAAUAAAUAAACAACACAUAAUUAAA